rnacentral:misc_RNA from 1 species
CUCAGCUACAGCUGUAUUGUUGCUUAUCAUACAAACAGCACGCUGUACCCUGGCAAGAUCACCUCCAGGUACUACCGUUGGGGGCUGGUAGUUGAUACCACACUUGAAACCAGUUGGGCACCUGAAAGUAUGCAUACAAAACAUGAUUCAUUUUCAACAGAAAAAGAGAAUGAUGUGAAAAUAUAUUUAUAUAGUGUUGAUCAUAAUCCUAUAACAGAAAAUCAUAUGUUAAAACAAUAAAAGAGAACCACAAUAUUUCAGCAAACAGGGAACACUAAUCCUAGUGAUGUGGAAUCAGAGUUCCUUCCAAAGAAAACCAAGAAUAACAGCAUCUUAUUGAUCCUGAAGACAAGUUUGCAUUCACUUGAGCUUUUCUACAUUUGGUAAAAUGAUGUUCUGAACUAAGAAAGUUAAAAACAGAGGAAUUCUCUCAUAUUUUUAUUCUCUCAAAUAAAAAUAUAAUAAAAUAACCAAAUUCAGUGCUGUUUAGACACCAAUCAUCAACAACUUAGCCUUCAAUAAUUUUUGUUUUGUCGACUAGCAUUGUAAUUCUCAAUUAUAGUUUACAAUAUCUUUUACCGUUACUUUCAAAGCAAAUAAUUCCAAUUAUUGAACAAGUCCACCAUGAAUACCACAAUGAAACAAUCAUUUGAUAAUUCCUAUUACAGCAAAAUCUUUUUAAAGUCCUAUCAAGCUGGUGGAAUUGUUUCCUAUUUGCUAAGAUGUGAAUAUAACCACUUAAAUUUCAUUCAGGGACGAAAGGCAGUUGCCAAUUAAAUGGCAAAGCCCAACUGGCACACCACUCAACAGAAUGAUGAGAACUUUGUUUCUUUCUUGAGCAGAAGGAGAGGGUCACAAUAUCAGUUAGCCCCACAAAAGAUGCAGCAUUGAAAUACCAAUGCAACAUGCUAUUACUAAGAAAACAAGUCUCAUCUCAGCAGGGGGUGGAAAAAUUCUGCUCGAAACUAAUUCCAAUAAAUUAAGAACGCAGGAUAUCAACUCACCAGUCAACAAAUUGAACUGUCCUCUUUGUCUUAAUGGUAGAGACGGCAGCAUUAACAUCCUUUGGCACCACAUCUCCACGAUACAUAAGACAACAAGCCAUGUACUUCCCAUGCCUUGGAUCACAUUUGGCCAUCAUACUUGAGGGCUCAAACACAGCACUUGUGAUCUCAGGAACUGAAAGCUGCUCAUGGUAAGCCUUUGCAGCUGAGAUUACAGGAGCAUAAGAUGAAAGCAUGAAAUGGAUGCGAGGAUAUGGCACAAGGUUAGUUUGGAACUCCGUAAUAUCCACAUUAAUGGCCCCAUCAAAUCUCAAUGAUGUGGUCAAAGAAGAGAUAAUCUGGGAUAUUAAGCGGUUCAAGUUGGUGUAAGUUGGCCUUUCAAUAUCUAAUGAUCUCCUGCAGAUAUCGUAGAUAGCUUCAUUGUCCAGAAGCACAGCCACAUCUGUGUGUUCAAGGAGUGAAUGAGUGGAAAGCACACUAUUGUAAGGUUCCACGACAGCAGUAGAAACCUGAGGAGAAGGAUAGAUGGUGAAGCCAAGUUUUGACUUUUUUCCAUAAUCUACUGACAAGCGUUCCAAAAGUAGUGAGCCCAAACCAGAACCAGUGCCACCACCAACAGCAUUGAAUACCAAAAAUCCUUGCAAACCAGUGCAAUUGUCGGCCAACUUCCUCACUCGGUCAAGGCAUAGAUCCACAAUUUCCCUUCCCACUGUAUAAUGUCCUCUAGCAAAGUUAUUAGCAGCAUCUUCCUUGCCAGAAAUAAGUUGCUCAGGGUGAAAAAGUUGUCUAUAAGUCCCAGUUCUAGUUUCAUCAAUGACAGUAGGUUCAAGAUCAACAAAUAUAGCUCUUGGCACAUGCUUGCCAAAACCAGUCUCACUGAAGAAGGUAUC